rnacentral:rRNA from 1 species
UACGUAGGGUGCGAGCGUUAAUCGGAAUUACUGGGCGUAAAGCGUGCGCAGGCGGUUCGUUGUGUCGGCGGUGAAAGCCCCGGGCUCAACCUGGGAAUGGCCGUUGAAACUGUCGAACUGGAGUGUGGCAGAGGGAGGUAGAAUUCCACGUGUAGCAGUGAAAUGCGUAGAGAUGUGGAGGAAUACCGAUGGCGAAGGCAGCCUCCUGGGCCAACACUGACGCUCAUGCACGAAAGCGUGGGGAGCAAACAGG